GAUGAACGCUGGCGGCGUGCCUAACACAUGCAAGUCGAGCGAUUCUCUUCGGAGAAGAGCGGCGGACGAGUGAGUAACGCGUGGGUAACCUGCCCUGUACACACGGAUAACAUACCGAAAGGUAUGCUAAUACGGGAUAACAUAAGAAAUUCGCAUGAUUUUCUUAUCAAAGCUCCGGCGGUACAGGAUGGACCCGCGUCUGAUUAGCUAGUUGGUGAGGUAAUGGCUCACCAAGGCGACGAUCAGUAGCCGACCUGAGAGGGUGAUCGGCCACAUUGGAACUGAGACACGGUCCAAACUCCUACGGGAGGCAGCAGUGGGGAAUAUUGCACAAUGGGCGAAAGCCUGAUGCAGCAACGCCGCGUGAGCGAUGAAGGCCUUCGGGUCGUAAAGCUCUGUCCUCAAGGAAGAUAAUGACGGUACUUGAGGAGGAAGCCCCGGCUAACUACGUGCCAGCCGCCGCAGUAA
rnacentral:rRNA from 1 species